rnacentral:rRNA from 1 species
GAUGAACGCUGGCGGCGUGCCUAAUACAUGCAAGUCGAGCGAACAGACGAGGAGCUUGCUCCUCUGACGUUAGCGGCGGACGGGUGAGUAACACGUGGAUAACCUACCUAUAAGACUGGGAUAACUUCGGGAAACCGGAGCUAAUACCGGAUAAUAUAUUGAACCGCAUGGUUCAAUAGUGAAAGACGGUUUUGCUGUCACUUAUAGAUGGAUCCGCGCCGCAUUAGCUAGUUGGUAAGGUAACGGCUUACCAAGGCAACGAUGGGUAGCCGACCUGAGAGGGUGAUCGGCCACACUGGAACUGAGGCACGGUCCAGACUCCUACGGGGGGCAGCAGUAGGGAAUCUUCCGCGAUGGGCGAAAGCCUGACGGAGCAACGCCGCGUGAGUGAUGAUGGUCUUCGGAUCGUAAAACUCUGUUAUUAGGGAAGAACAAAUGUGUAAGUAACUAUGCACGUCUUGACGGUACCUAAUCAGAAAGCCACGGCUAACUACGUG